AAAACAUCGCCUCUUGCAAAAGUAAAGAAUAAGAGGUCCUGCCUGCCCAGUGACUAUAUGUUUAACGGCCGCGGUAUUUUGACCGUGCGAAGGUAGCGCAAUCACUUGUCUUUUAAAUAAAGACCGGUAUGAAUGGCAAGACGAGGGCCUAACUGUCUCCUCUUUCGAGUCAAUGAAAUUGAUCUCCCCGUGCAGAAGCGGGGAUAACCUCAUAAGACGAGAAGACCCUAUGGAGCUUUAGACACGAAAGCAGCUUAUGUCAAGCACCCUAAAAUAACAGCCUGAACUAAAUAUGCCUGCCCGAAUGUCUUUGGUUGGGGCGACCGCGGGGAAAUAAAUAACCCCCAUGUGGAAUGGGAGUAACCUCCUCCUAAAGCCAAGAGUGACAGCUCUAAGCAACAGAACUUCUGACCUAUCAGAUCCGGCUAUGCCGAUCAACGGACCGAGUUACCCUAGGGAUAACAGCGCAAUCCUCUUUUAGAGCCCGUAUCGACAAGGGGGUUUACGACCUCGAUGUUGGAUCAGGACAUCCUAAUGGUGAAGCCGCUAUUAAGGGUUCGUUUGUUCAACGAUUAAAGUCCUACGUGAUCUG
rnacentral:rRNA from 1 species